rnacentral:rRNA from 1 species
UACGGAGGAUGCAAGCGUUAUCCGGAAUGAUUGGGCGUAAAGCGUCCGCAGGUGGCUGUUCAAGUCUGCUGUCAAAGACCGGGGCUUAACUUCGGAAAGGCAGUGGAAACUGAACAGCUAGAGUAUGGUAGGGGCAGAGGGAAUUCCUGGUGUAGCGGUGAAAUGCGUAGAGAUCAGGAAGAACAUCGGUGGCGAAGGCGGUUCUCUGGGAAUAUCCUGACGCUGAGGAGCGAAAGCGUGGGGAGCGAACAGG